UGGAUCAAUGAUGACCACUGGUGGUGUAUGAGUCAUGGAUCGUGACUACAGGUCUGGAAGUAUAAGAUAUUU
rnacentral:snoRNA from 1 species